rnacentral:rRNA from 1 species
UACGAAGGGGGCUAGCGUUGUUCGGAAUUACUGGGCGUAAAGCGCACGUAGGCGGAUAUUUAAGUCAGGGGUGAAAUCCCGGGGCUCAACCCCGGAACUGCCUUUGAUACUGGGUAUCUCGAGUCCGAGAGAGGUGAGUGGAAUUCCGAGUGUAGAGGUGAAAUUCGUAGAUAUUCGGAGGAACACCAGUGGCGAAGGCGGCUCACCGGCUCGGUACUGACGCUGAGGUGCGAAAGCGUGGGGAGCAAACAGG